rnacentral:rRNA from 1 species
UACAGAGGGGCAAGCGUUAUUCGGAAUUAUUGGGCGUAAAGGGCGCGUAGGCGCCUGGCAAGUGGAUGGUGAAAUCCCUCGGCUUAACCGAGGAACUGCCAUCCAGACUGCUUGGCUUGAGACCGGGAGAGGUGAGUGGAAUUCCCAGUGUAGCGGUGAAAUGCGUAGAUAUUGGGAGGAACACCAGUGGCGAAGGCGGCUCACUGGACCGGUACUGACGCUGAGGCGCGAAAGCGUGGGGAGCAAACGGG